GAUGAACGCUGGCGGCGUGCUUAACACAUGCAAGUCGAACGGAAAGGCCCAAGCUUGCUUGGGUACUCGAGUGGCGAACGGGUGAGUAACACGUGGGUGAUCUGCCCUGCACUUCGGGAUAAGCCUGGGAAACUGGGUCUAAUACCGGAUAGGACCACUUCUUGGAUGUUGUGGUGGAAAGUUUUUUCGGUGUGGGAUGAGCUCGCGGCCUAUCAGCUUGUUGGUGGGGGAAUGGCCUACCAAGGCGUCGACGGGUAGCCGGCCUGGGAGGGUGUACGGCCACAUUGGGACUGGGAUACGGCCCAGACCCCUACGGGAGGCAGCAGUGGGGAAUAUUGCACAAUGGGCGCGAGCCUGAUGCAGCGACGCCGCGGGGGGGAAGACGGGCUUCGGGUUGGAAACUCCUUUCGCUAGGGACGAAGCGUUUUGUGACGGUACCUGGAGAAGAAGCACCGGCUAACUACGUG
rnacentral:rRNA from 1 species